rnacentral:rRNA from 1 species
UAAGGAAUAUUGCGCAAUGGACGAAAGUCUGACGCAGCGACGCCGCGUGGGGGAUGAAGGUCUUCGGAUUGUAAACCCCUUUCGGGAGGGAAGAUGGAGUGGGUAACCACUUGGACGGUACCUCCAGAAGCAGCCACGGCUAACUUCGUGCCAGCAGCCGCGGUAAUACGAAGGUGGCAAGCGUUGUUCGGAUUCACUGGGCGUACAGGAAGCGUAGGCGGUUGGGUAAGCCCUCCGUGAAAUCUCCGGGCCUAACCCGGAAAGUGCAGAGGGGACUGCUCAGCUAGAGGAUGGGAGAGGAGCGCGGAAUUCCCGGUGUAGCGGUGAAAUGCGUAGAGAUCGGGAGGAAGGCCGGUGGCGAAGGCGGCGCUCUGGAACAUUUCUGACGCUGAGGCUCGAAAGCGUGGGGAGCAAACAGGAUUAGAUACCCCGGUAGUCCCUGAGCGGGCUGGCAAGGCGCAU